UGCGAUGAGUCGAGAGGUCUGGUAGCAACCCUAAUUGCUGCCAUUAGACAUUUCGAAUGUGGGGCACGUUAACUCACCGGAUUGUGAGGUGCCCGGUUAAAGGGCGAAGUGGACAUCGC
rnacentral:ncRNA from 1 species